GUGGGGGUGGGGAGCAGGGAAAUCUACAAAAGAAAUGGAGCGAGCGCUCGGCUUCCACCGGCCUUGCAGCUGCCCCAACGCCGGCUUUAGGUGUGCACUGAAAGGAGAGGGAAGACUACAAGUAUAGAUCCUGCCAGCACUGCUGAAGCUCUCAAGCCAGAAGCCUAAGUCUGCAGGAAGCUGCCUUCCUCGUCCUCCUAGAGGCUCACAAUGCUCUUCCCAGACAACCAGAGUUCCGUUUUCCUUAGAUGGCCGUCACUCCAAUGAAGUUGUCCAUAAUCCCAUCCAUAAAAUACACGUUUGGAAAUAGCCUUCCACUUCUUCCUGUUCACCUUCCAUGUUCACCCAAGCUCUCCACUCCAGGGAGCCGUACAUCCUGCGUGUCAAGCUCAUCCCUCCAGACAGGAAGACGGAAGGUAAUAAUCCAGAGGACAUGAUGACAUUACCCGGGAAAUCUACUAUAAAUACUUCAGUAAUGGGAAAAUCAUGUACAUUUUUCAAGUCCUUGAAAUGCUUGGUCAACAAGAAGCUAUAAAUGAAGAAAUAGUCAGGAUAUGGCCAAGUCUCACAUGUGAAAAAUAAUGUAAAUACCUACUAUACAUAUUUUGAUUUCCUUCUUCUCUCUCUCUUUCUUCCUCCCUUCUUUUCCCUCUUAGUUGCCUAGCCCUCCUCUCCCUGCUCGUGUUUUGUCUUUUCUUCCUUCCGCUUGUUUUGUUUUUAGAAAUAUGAGCCUUACUGUCCAAGCUGCCUGGAAGUCACUAUGCGCACAGCCUGGCAUUAAGCUCAUGGCAGUCUUCAAGCUUUGGCUUUCCCACUUCUGCAAUUACAUUAAUGUG